rnacentral:rRNA from 1 species
UACGGGGGGGGGCAAGCGUUGUUCGGAAUUACUGGGCGUAAAGGGCGCGUAGGCGGCUUUUCAAGUCGGGCGUGAAAUCUCCGGGCUUAACCCGGAAGGGUCGUUCGAUACUGUUGAGCUAGAGUGUGGAAGAGGCAACUAGAAUUCCGUGUGUAGCGGUGAAAUGCGUAGAUAUACGGAGGAAUACCUGAGGCGAAGGCGGGUUGCUGGGCCAACACUGACGCUGAGGCGCGAAAGCCAGGGGAGCCAAAGCGGG